GUCCAAGGAGAGCGUGGGAGGACCGGCUAACGGAAGAAGGCAGCAAGACCCUAGAGAAAACAUAAGCCAUGGAGAAACUAAUGGAUUCCCCUGCUAAAAUUUCACUUUGAAAGUAAAGAUAAAAUGAAGACAUAGCAUGAAGAGACACCUAUGUCUCAGCUGUGGGAAGAAAGGAGUUCUGAAGUCGUGAGGAUUCAGACAAAGCCGCUCUUACUGCUCACCUCCAUCUUCAUUCAGUGUGUUCCUGAUGCAUCAAGACUCAAAAC